UACAGAGGUCUCAAGCGUUGUUCGGAUUCAUUGGGCGUAAAGGGUGCGUAGGUGGCGCCGUAAGUCAGGUGUGAAAUUUCGGAGCUCAACUCCGAAACUGCAUUUGAUACUGCGGUGCUUGAGGACUGGAGAGGAGACUGGAAUUCACGGUGUAGCAGUGAAAUGCGUAGAUAUCGUGAGGAAGACCAGUGGCGAAGGCGGGUCUCUGGACAGUUCCUGACACUGAGGCACGAAGGCCAGGGGGAGCAAAACGGGG
rnacentral:rRNA from 1 species